CCUUGUACACACCGCCCGUCACACCACGAAAGCGAGCAACACCCGAAGCCGGUGAUCCAACCUCUUUGAGGAGGAAGCCGUCGAAGGUGGGGCCCGUGAUUGGGGUG
rnacentral:rRNA from 1 species